GAUGAACGCUGGCGGCGUGCCUAAUACAUGCAAGUCGAGCGAACGGACGAGAAGCUUGCUUCUCUGAUGUUAGCGGCGGACGGGUGAGUAACACGUGGAUAACCUACCUAUCAGACUGGGAUAACUUCGGGAAACCGGAGCUAAUACCGGAUAAUAUUUUGAACCGCAUGGUUCAAAAGUGAAAGACGGUCUUGCUGUCACUUAUAGAUGGAUCCGCGCUGCAUUAGCUAGUUGGUAAGGUAACGGCUUACCAAGGCAACGAUGCAUAGCCGACCUGAGAGGGUGAUCGGCCACACUGGAACUGGGACACGGUCCAGACUCCUACGGGAGGCAGCAGUAGGGAAUCUUCCGCAAUGGGCGAAAGCCUGACGGAGCAACGCCGCGUGAGUGAUGAAGGUCUUCGGAUCGUAAAACUCUGUUAUUAGGGAAGAACAUAUGUGUAAGUAACUGUGCACAUCUUGACGGUACCGAAUCAGAAAGCCACGGCUAACUACGUG
rnacentral:rRNA from 1 species